GCACUAAGUCACUUUGUCUUUAUGGCAAAUGUGAGAUGCAGUGUAUGGAAUGUCAAAUUUCUAGUAUGAGAAAUUAACGAUUUAAGUCCUUCUUAAAUGAGGCCAUUUACCCAUAGAGGGUGCCAGGCCCGUAUAACGUUAAUGAUUACUAGAUGGCAUUUCCAAAGAGUCGUGUUGCUUGAUAGUGCAGCACUAAGUGGGUGGUAAACUCCAUCUAAAACUAAAUAUAACCAUGAGACCGAUAGUAAACAAGUACCGUGAGGGAAAGUUGAAAAGAACUCUGAAUAGAGAGUUAAAUAGUACGUGAAACUGCUUAGAGGUUAAGCCCGAUGAACCUGAAUAUCCAUUAUAGAAAAUUCAUCAUUAUGAUUUUAAUAUUAAUAAUAUUAUAAUAAUGGUGUGCAUUUUUUCUAUAACGGACAUUGUAAUCUAUUAACAUAAAUAUAUUUAUCAUAAGAUCAAUGAUGCGUAAGUUUAUUCAAAUUAUUUUGCUUGCAAUUUAACAUAGAAUAAAUGCUCUUGAUUUGAUAAAGUGUUGAUAGAUUUAUUGUAUAUAGUGCUUAAAUAUUUAUAUUUUAUAAUAGCAUAUUAAUCAUUGAUUUUUAUGUUUAUUAUAUGCACUUAUAUGAUUAACAAUGCGAAAGAUUCAGGAUACCUUCGGGACCCGUCUUGAAACACGGACCAAGGAGUCUAACAUAUUUGCAAGUUAUUGGGUAUCAAAACCUAAUAGCGAAAUUAACAUAACUUUAAUGGGAUUAGUUUUUAGAUUAUUUAUAGUCUAUUAAUUCAAUCCCGGGGCGUUCUAUACAGUUAUGUAUAAUAAUAUUUAUAUUAUUUAUACCUCUAACUAGAGCGUACCUUGAGCAUAUAUGCUGUGACCCGAAAGAUGGUGAACUAUACUUGAUCAGGUUGAAGUCAGGGGAAACCCUGAUGGAAGACCGAAACAGUUCUGACGUGCAAAUCGAUGUCAGAA
rnacentral:rRNA from 1 species